rnacentral:rRNA from 1 species
GACGAACGCUGGCGGCGUGCCUAAUACAUGCAAGUCGAACGCAGUGGGGACGGGUGAGUAACACGUGGGUAACCUCCCAUCAGAGGGGAUCACACUUUGAAACAGGUGCUAAACCGAUACUGAUUUCUGGACCCGCUGUGCAUUAGCCAGUGGGUGAGGUAACGGCUAACCAAGGCCACGAUGCAUAGCCGGCCUGAGAGGGGGAUCAGCCACACUGGGACUGAGACACGGCCCAGACUCCUACGGGAGGCAGCAGUGGGGAAUCUUCGUCAAUGGACGAAAGUCUGACCGAGCAACGCCGCGUGAGUGAAGAAGGUUUUCGGGUCGUAAAACUCUGUUGUUAGAGAAGCGGUAUCUAACCAGAAAGCCACGGCUAACUACGUGCCAGCAGCCGCGGUAAUUC